rnacentral:sRNA from 1 species
UGGUUGAAUACCUCCCUCUCCACUCCCAACUUCAGGGUAGAGGUCUAGAGCUGCUCUUGGCUCUUUAUGCAUUCUACUUUGACCCUAUCAAAACCUCAUUUCUCUUCCAAGAGAAAGGCCAGCAGAGUGCACCACUGCUCCUGUUUACCUCCUCCUCCAAUAACAGGAGCUCGUUCAUAACCAAGGACAUUAACAAAUCUUGCUGCUUGCCUUGGAGUAUCAAGAAGCCGUCCAGCUCGAAGUGGUUUAACAUAGGAACAGACUGGUCUAUUUAUCCCAUUUUCAUCCUAGGGAAAAGGGGAAAAACAUCUGUAAUGACAUAUUAAUC